rnacentral:rRNA from 1 species
AUUGAACGCUGGCGGCAUGCCUUACACAUGCAAGUCGAACGGCAGCAUGGAGGAGCUUGCUCCUCUGAUGGCGAGUGGCGAACGGGUGAGUAAAGCAUCGGAACGUACCGUGUAGUGGGGGAUAACGUAGCGAAAGUUACGCUAAUACCGCAUACGCACUGAGGUGGAAAGCAGGGGAUCGCAAGACCUUGCGCUAUACGAGCGGCCGAUGUCAGAUUAGCUAGUUGGUAGGGUAAAGGCUACCAAGGCGACGAUCUGUAGCGGGUCUGAGAGGAUGAUCCGCCACACUGGGACUGAGACACGGCCCAGACUCCUACGGAGGCAGCAGUGGGGAAUUUUGGACAAUGGGGAAACCUGAUCCAGCCAUGCCGCGUGAGUGAAGAAGGCCU